UGACGCGGCUUGCUUAUUGGGUCCAACCAGGUCUACAUGAUGUUUAUAAACAGUGACGUUUGCUCCUUUUUGAUGGCUUGGUUGGAAGUUUUCUGAAGUUGGAAAUUGAGGUAUAUUGAUAUAUCAUUAACUCAGGUUUCAGGGUGUGUCAUAUACUACUGUACACACAUUAUAUUUGAUGGUUCUAAGGAUGUGCGGGUAUUUUUUUUUGUAGCUCUUGCAAGUUCUCUAGCCUGAGUUUGUAUAUCUGUACUAUAUUUGUCUUGGCAAAUGAUAAGCAGUGUAUGGAUUCAUUCUUUUA